GACGAACCGUGCGAACGUUAUUCGGAAUCACUGGGCUUAAAGCGCGUGUAGGCGGGACGGCACGUCGGUCGCUGAAAGCCCCCGGCUCAACCGGGGAACGGGCGCCGGUACGACCGCCCUGGAGGGACGUAGGGGGACCUGGAACUUCCGGUGGAGCGGUGAAAUGCGUUGAGAUCGGAAGGAACGCCCGUGGCGAAAGCGAGGUCCUGGACGUCUGCUGACGCUGAGACGCGAAAGCCAGGGGAGCGAACGGG
rnacentral:rRNA from 1 species